rnacentral:rRNA from 1 species
AUUGAACGCUGGCGGCAUGCUUUACACAUGCAAGUCGAACGGCAGCGCGGGCUUCGGCCUGGCGGCGAGUGGCGAACGGGUGAGUAAUGCAUCGGAACGUGCCCAGUAGUGGGGGAUAGCCCGGCGAAAGCCGGAUUAAUACCGCAUACGACCUGAGGGUGAAAGCGGGGGACCGAAAGGCCUCGCGCUAUUGGAGCUGCCGAUGUCGGAUUAGCUAGUUGGUGGGGUAAAGGCUUACCAAGGCGACGAUCCGUAGCUGGUCUGAGAGGACGACCAGCCACACUGGGACUGAGACACGGCCCAGACUCCUACGGGAGGCAGCAGUGGGGAAUUUUGGACAAUGGGGGCAACCCUGAUCCAGCCAUGCCGCGUGCGGGAAGAAGGCCUUCGGGUUGUAAACCGCUUUUGUUCGGGAAGAAAUCCUCUGGGCUAAUACCCCGGGGGGAUGACGGUACCGGAAGAAUAAGCACCGGCUAACUACGUG